rnacentral:piRNA from 1 species
UUCAGCUCUGGUGAUAGAUUUGGAUGUCU